AUUUGAUUUAUUAGUAUUGAUUAUUCUCUUCUCUCCUGCUGUAGUUGAAGAAGUGUCCCCACUCAGUCCCCCUGUGGUUGUUGCUGUCUCGUCUCGAAGAGAAAGUCGGGCAGCUGACUCGAGCCAGGGCCAUCCUCGAGAAGGCAAGGCUGAAGAACCCUCAAAGCCCAGAGUUAUGGUCGGAGUCUGUCAGACUUGAGUUCAGGGCCGGACUGAAGAACAUCGCGAACACUCUGAUGGCCAAAGCCCUGCAGGAGUGUCCAAAUUCAGGAAUUCUGUGGGCACAAGCUGUGUUUCUGGAGGCAAGACCACAAAGGAAGACAAAGAGUGUAGAUGCUCUGAAGAAGUGUGAACAUGAUCCCCACGUCUUGCUUGCUGUAGCCAAGUACGACAACAUCCCUUAUGUUUUUUAAUGUUUUUUU